rnacentral:misc_RNA from 1 species
UGAGCUUUUCUUAAGUUAACAACACUAUUCCUUGUAGAAAUUUCUUGAAAAGAACGAACCCCCAUGUUAAUUCUUCUUGUAAAUCUGUGAGAAACAACAUUAGAGCAGCUAAACCUGCAGGUAUAAGCCGUAGCUGUAACUGUCAUUGGCCAUAGCUGCGUAAAUAGAGAAGAUGAAUUACACUGCAACACCAUUAUUUUCUCCAUUUUCAAUCUUUAUACUAAACUAUAACACCAAAUUGAAGAUUCCCAUUGAUCAACAACUUGG